GAGACUGCAGACGCGUCUAUACAGGACGAGGGAGGAGAUCCCGGUUCUGCCCACGCCGAGACGCGCCAGAGUAAAAGGGCAAGGUCAACGCUUGAGACCGUCAAGGAAUCCGACCUCAACGGCGAGUUUGAUGACGCUUAUGAUCUCACCGAUGAGAGUUCAUGGGCUAUGGUUCCCGUGGAGACUGUACCAGGUCGCUUUUUACAAUACCGUAAAAUGACCAUCAGGAAACUGUCAGAGGUCGAGGAACAGCUGGGACUGACGGUGGCUAAAACCCAGAGAAAGGUCACGACCUUGAAGUCUCAGUUCCAGGAACACAAGAGCAAGUGGGAAACAGAGAGAAAGGUACUGAUAGAACAAGU